CAUGGCUCAGGAUGAAUGCUGGCGGCAUGCCUAAUACAUGCAAGUCGAGCGGUAACAUGGCUUCACCGUUCUCUUGACACACUUGGCUAUUAUGCGAGUGGUAAGAUUCGAGGGAACUGUGAAGCUGAUGACGAGCGGCGGACGGCUGAGUAACGCGUGAGAACAUACCCCAAAGUGAGGGAUAAAUAGUCGAAAGUUUAGCUAAUACCGCAUGUGAUCUUUGGAUUAAAGCAUUUAUGCGCUUUGGGAAUGGCUUGAGUACGAUUAGAUAGUUGGUGAGGUAAAGGCUCACCAAGUCGACGAUCGUUAGAUGGUUUGAGAGGAUUCUCAUCCAGACUGGGACUGAGACACGGCCCAGACUCCUACGG
rnacentral:rRNA from 1 species